CCCUUCCCCAGAAGUGUGUCUUGAAGGGGGCAUGGAAGUUCUCUCAACCAGUCUACAAGUGCUUUGUGGACUUGGAGAAGGCGUUUGACCAUGUCCCCCGGGGACUCCUGUGGCGG